AGAGUUUGAUCAUGGCUCAGAUUGAACGCUGGCGGCAUGCCUAACACAUGCAAGUCGAACGGAAACGAUGGGAGCUUGCUCCCAGGCGUCGAGUGGCGGACGGGUGAGUAAUACUUAGGAAUCUACCCAGUAGCGGGGGACAACUCGGGGAAACUCGAGCUAAUACCGCAUACGCUCUACGGAGGAAAGCAGGGGAUCUUCGGACCUUGCACUAUUGGAUGAGCCUAAGUCGGAUUAGCUUGUUGGUGAGGUAAAGGCUCACCAAGGCGACGAUCCGUAGCUGGUCUGAGAGGACGAUCAGCCACACUGGGACUGAGACACGGCCCAGACUCCUACGGGAGGCAGCAGUGGGGAAUAUUGGACAAUGGGGGCAACCCUGAUCCAGCAAUGCCGCGUGUGUGAAGAAGGCCUGCGGGUUGUAAAGCACUUUCAGUAGAGAAGAAAAGCCUAGGGUUAAUACCCCUGAGUCGGGACG
rnacentral:rRNA from 1 species